rnacentral:rRNA from 1 species
CAGCCGCCACGGUAAUACGUAGGUGGCAAGCGUUGUCCGGAAUUAUUGGGCGUAAAGGGCUCGCAGGCGGUUUCUUAAGUCUGAUGUGAAAGCCCCCGGCUCAACCGGGGAGGGUCAUUGGAAACUGGGAAACUUGAGUGCAGAAGAGGAGAGUGGAAUUCCACGUGUAGCGGUGAAAUGCGUAGAGAUGUGGAGGAACACCAGUGGCGAAGGCGACUCUCUGGUCUGUAACUGACGCUGAGGAGCGAAAGCGUGGGGAGCGAACAGGAUUAGAUACCCCAGUAGUCCCUGUCCCUUAAAC